AAUGAACGUUGGCGGCGUGGAUUAGGCAUGCAAGUCGAGCGCUCAUAGCAAUAUGGGAGCGGCGAACGGCGUAGUAAUAUGUAGGAACGUACCCUCGGGUCGGGGAUAGCCAUGGGAAACUGUGGGUAAUACCCGAUAAUCUCUGCGGAGCAAAGGUGUGAUUCCGCCUGAGGAGCGGCCUACACGAUAUUAGCUAGUUGGUAGGGUAAUGGCCUACCAAGGCUACGAUGUCUAGGGGGUGUGAGAGCAUGGCCCCCACGACCGGAACUGAGAUACUGUCCGGACACCUACGGGUGGGCUGCAGUCGAGAAUCUUCCGCAAUAGGACGAAAGUACUGACGAAGCGACGCCGCGUGCGGGAGUGAA
rnacentral:rRNA from 1 species